CCCUUAGAUGUCCUGGGCUGCACGCGCGCUACACUGAUGUGUCCAGUAAGCACCUAACCUCUUCCGAAAGGAACGGGUAACCUUUGCAAAGCACAUCGUGAUGGGGAUAGAUUAUUGCAAUUAUUAGUCUUGAACGAGGAAUUCCUAGUAAGCACAAGUCAUCAGCUUGUGUUGAUUACGUCCCUGCCCUAUGUACACACCGCCCGUCGCUCCUACCGAUUGAAUGUUCCGGUGAGCUCUUCGGACUGCGCGGUCUGCAGUUUCUGCGUUCCGUGCGGAAAGUUGCGCAAACCUUAACAUUUAGAGGAAGGAGAAGUCGUAACA
rnacentral:rRNA from 1 species